rnacentral:rRNA from 1 species
CAGUAGCCACGGUAAUACGAAGGGUGCAAGCGUUACUCGGAAUUACUGGGCGUAAAGCGCGCGCAGGCGGCUUUUUAAGUCUGGUGUCUAAGUGCGGGGCUCAACCCCGUGACGCACUGGAAACUGGGAGACUUGAGUGCAGAAGAGGAGAGCGGAAUUCCACGUGUAGCAGUGAAAUGCGUAGAGAUCGGAAGGAACAUCUGUGGCGAAGGCGACUAUCUGGGCCAACACUGACACUGAGGCACGAAAGCGUGGGGAGCAAACAGGAUUAGAUACCCCCGUAGUCCCUGUCUCUUAUACA